rnacentral:RNase_MRP_RNA from 2 species
GUCCAUGGUCAAAGAUUUGUUAUCAAAGCUUACAAAAAGACAUCACUUUGUAUGUCAAACCAACGCUUUGGGGAAAGUCUCCUGUCACAAUAGCGGAAACGCAAUGGGAAGUUUAAUUCCUUUCCCAUUCAUGACACAUUUCACACUAGGCCAAGUUUUUAUCCCCCGCCAUGGUCAAACUUUCUUUGGAAGUUAAACAUGGGUUUUCAAUCGAGGGCAUCCUUAUAGGAUGAGUGUCACAUGUACGUUAAUCUAUCAUCAAAAGGAAAGAUGGAUCAUUGAUCCGUAUAAUGAUGAUUUCGACAUGGCCAAGCUUAAAUGCAUUGCGAAUGGGAUGAUUGUGUUAUUUCAAAUACAGAGGAGUGGCUGGAUUGAUCACGUUGGUUUUUAUUUAGGUCGUAUGGUUUUUCAUUGAUGGGGUGUUGGAGUUCUGAAUCGAAUGAUUUGAUAUAUUGGAGGGGUUUUACUUUUAGUUUGUAAAACGGAUGAUUUUUCUUUGGAAUGUUUGUUGUUGGCGCUGGGUUUUUUUAUGAUACUAGUCUAUUCAUGGCUUCAUCUUUGUGGUUCCUUGUGGGACGACAGAGCUCUGGUAUUGUGAUUUUCUAAGAACUACAUCAAACCCGAUUUAUCUAUCCAACCUCCCCUUUUUCUCGUGCAUUCAUUUACCUCCUUCAUUCUGUCGUGGAUAAGUAUGACUAUUACUAUGGAAAUCCAAUAUCUUUCCAGCUUGAAUCUGAGGUUUUGGUAUCACGAAAUACUCCCCCUCUGCACCCUCAGGAAAUUCAUGGACCAAAAAAACGGGAGUACAUACAUUGUGUUAUUGGUGUGACUUGUGGAUUGUGUGAUACUAGUAUUGGUUUUCUGAACUCCAUUCUAGUUUAAUCUUUUCGAUGUUUUAUUUUACAUUGGAAAAUUAUCUCGACAUCGGGGGCUUAAUACUUUAUAAGUAUGUAUGUGUCCUAAACGAUAGAUAUAACGAAUGAUCAUGAUUUUGUGUUUCUUUCAUCUUUUGGAAAUCGUGAUUAACUCAAUGGAGCUUAUUCUUGACACUAUGGA